rnacentral:lncRNA from 1 species
UUCGAAGUAAACAUUCAGUACCUUCCAGGACAUUUUGAUUGAUGAAUGAAUUGAGGAACAUAGCUUAGAGUAAAGAGAAAAUAACAAUGUAAUACUUUAAAACAAUGAGUUUUUAGUUAACUGUCUUUCAUUAAGUUAUAGUUAUACAAAUUGGUGAUGAUAACAAGAAAUGUAUUUUAUUUGAGACCACUCUUUCUGCUACUUUGAGAUCUUAACACAUGUGAUUGUAAUUCUAACAGGAUGUAUUUUUCUUACAAAAGCUACUCUAUGGUAUUGAUUUGGAAGAACAAAGGAAUUUGAUCUGCCUGGAAAUACUACAGAGGGAUGGAAACCGAAACCGAUCAUUCUAGAAUUUUUCUUUUUUUUUUUUUUUUUUUUUUUUUUGGUUUUUCUCCGGUACCGGGAACUGAACUCACGACCUUGCGCUUGCCAGGCAGGCGCUUUUGCCGCUGAGCUAAAUCCCCAGCCCCCAUUCUAGAAUUUUUCAAAGACAGUUUUCUUUAAAGAAAAAUGUAUCAAUGACAGGGUGUCUUAAAUAAACCAUGUAGAGAAAUCUUUUCUAAAUAAUUUUAUACAUUAUUUCUCUGGAUUCGUGCAGUAGUCAUCUCAUGAGCGUGGCAAUUACAAUCAUCUCCAUUUUACAAGUAAGAAAAGUGGAACGUGCAAAAACAGAACCACUAAGUAAAAGGAGCAGACUUCGCAAGCUGCAGCUCUUUGCUACCAGCAGAGGUCUACGGAAGGUGUACAGUGAGCCAUGGGAACAAGGUGUGAGGAAAUUAAUGAAUUUUGAAGGAGCUAUUUGUUUCUCUUCAUACCAUAGAAGAAAUUUACUUCCAUUUACUUCAUUUCUCUUCUGUUCAAAUCAUCUAUCACCUUUUGACAUGCCAAAUAGUACCCCAAAGAUUUACAGGUAUGUUUAUAGUGCACUAAUUGCAAAAUUCCAUUAAUUGGAUAGUUUAAAAAUUGCCACCCACUAAUUUCUAUUUCAAAUAACUUCAGAAUUAAGUAUCAAUGGCUAUUCACUUGAAUUUAUUCUUGAUUUAAUUCAUUCCUUAUUCAAAUUAAUUAUGCAGCUUGCUAAGGGAAAUAAAUGAGCAAAAGGUAAUAAUUUAAAGUCUGCUAUGUAUAUAUUUAUGUAUGUGUAUAUUUACAAGUUUAGCAAGUAAUAUUUAUAUAUUUUUAUUUUAUUAUUUUGCUGGUACUGGUCAUCAAACUCAAGGCCUCAAGCUUAGAAACAGGUACUGUACCACUGAGCUAUAUCCCCAGCCCAGUCAAACUUAUAGUAAUACUGAAUAUCUGAAUGUGACCAGUAAUAAAAGUAAAUAUAGAAUGAAAACAAUUAAAAAAAUGAAUUUCACAGAAGAAAAUGUACAAUACUAUUAGUAGAAG